GACGAACGCUGGCGGCGUGCUUAACACAUGCAAGUCGAACGGAAAGGCCCUGCUUUUGUGGGGUGCUCGAGUGGCGAACGGGUGAGUAACACGUGAGUAACCUGCCCUUGACUUUGGGAUAACUUCAGGAAACUGGGGCUAAUACCGGAUAGGAGCUCCUGCUGCAUGGUGGGGGUUGGAAAGUUUCGGCGGUUGGGGAUGGACUCGCGGCUUAUCAGCUUGUUGGUGGGGUAGUGGCUUACCAAGGCUUUGACGGGUAGCCGGCCUGAGAGGGUGACCGGCCACAUUGGGACUGAGAUACGGCCCAGACUCCUACGGGAGGCGGCAGUGGGGAAUAUUGCACAAUGGGCGGAAGCCUGAUGCAGCAACGCCGCGUGCGGGAUGACGGCCUUCGGGUUGUAAACCGCUUUCGCCUGUGGCGAAGCGUGAGUGACGGUAAUGGGUAAAGAAGCACCGGCUAACUACGUG
rnacentral:rRNA from 1 species